AAUCAACGCUGGCGGCGUGCCUCAGACAUGCAAGUCGAACGAUUAAACUUUCCUUCGGGAAAGAUAUAAAGUGGCGCACGGGUGAGUAACACGUAGGUAAUGUGCCUUUGGGUGGGGAAGUAACUUAGGAACGUUAAGCUAAUACCGCAUAAUGCAGCGGCUCCUUCGGGAGACAGUUGUUAAAGAUUUAUCGCCUAAAGAGCAGCCUGCGGCAGAUUAGCUAGUUGGUAAGGUAACGGCUUACCAAGGCGACGAUCUGUAUCCGACCUGAGAGGGUGGUCGGGACACACUGACACUGAAUAACGGGUCAGACUCCUACGGGAGGGCAGCAGUCGGGAA
rnacentral:rRNA from 1 species